GGGGCCGAGUUGGUUUUGACAGCAAGGUCAGUUGGAGGGUAAGCACGUCGAGCGCUGAGAAACAGCUCGUAAAUCUCAUUUUUCAGACCUUUAAAUGGCGAAAAUAACUACGCUCUUGCCGCUUAAUCCGAAUUACAGUAGGAUUUAGCCUCGUCCCCACCAGGUGGGGAAGCGAGAUGUCCCUAAGAAGCCCUUGUUGUCGGCGUCUUGUCCAGGGGCACCAUCAAAGACAACAUAGGAUCGAAGCAGCUUCGACUGAGGUCCAAAACUAAAGAAGCUAAGCAAAUGUUGGGCGGUUUUCGGUCAGACAUUUGUCGAAAACCAAUCGAAAACUAAACGUGUAGAAAGCUUUUUAAUUGCUUGUUUGGACGAGGGUUCAAAUCCCUCCGGCUCCAC
rnacentral:tmRNA from 1 species